rnacentral:rRNA from 1 species
CGAACGGGUGAGUAACGCGUGAGGAACCUGCCUCAAAGAGGGGGACAACAGUUGGAAACGACUGCUAAUACCGCAUAAGCCCACGGUGCCGCAUGGCACAGAGGGAAAAGGAGCAAUCCGCUUUGAGAUGGCCUCGCGUCCGAUUAGCUAGUUGGUGAGGUAACGGCCCACCAAGGCGACGAUCAGUAGCCGACCUGAGAGGGUGACCGGCCACAUUGGGACUGAGACACGGCCCAAACUCCUACGGGAGGCAGCAUGC